CCAGCAGCCGCGGUAAUUCCAGCUCCAAUAGCGUAUAUUAAAGUUGUUGCAGUUAAAAAGCUCGUAGUUGGAUUUCUGGCAUGAUGCGCCUGGCCCGCUCCGAUUACGGAUGUGUGUGCUAGUGCGCGUCUGCCAUCCAUUUACAGAAUGUAUCUACCCUUCAUUGGGCCGGAUAUGUGAUGUAAAUCUUUUACUUUGAAAAAAUUAGAGUGUUUAAAGCAGGCAUUUGCUAUGAAUACAUUAGCAUAGAAUAAUAAUCUAGGACGUAGGUACUAUUUUGUUGGUUUGCGCACCCACGUAAUGAUUAAUAGAGACAGGCGGGGCUAUUCGUAUUGCAUUGUCAGAGGUGAAAUUCUUGGAUUUCUGCAAGACGAACUACUGCGAAAGCAUUUAGCAAGGAUGUUUUCAUUAAUCAAG
rnacentral:rRNA from 1 species